GACGAACGCUGGCGGCGUGCUUAACACAUGCAAGUCGAACGGUAAGGCCCUUCGGGGUACACGAGUGGCGAACGGGUGAGUAACACGUGGGUGAACUGCCCUGCACUUCGGGAUAAGCCUGGGAAACUGGGUCUAAUACCGGAUAGGACUCCGGACUGCAUGGUCUGGGGUGGAAAGCUUUUGCGGUGUGGGAUGGGCCCGCGGCCUAUCAGCUUGUUGGUGGGGUGAUGGCCUACCAAGGCGACGACGGGUAGCCGGCCUGAGAGGGUGACCGGCCACACUGGGACUGAGAUACGGCCCAGACUCCUACGGGAGGCAGCAGUGGGGAAUAUUGCACAAUGGGCGCAAGCCUGAUGCAGCGACGCCGCGUGGGGGAUGACGGCCUUCGGGUUGUAAACCUCUUUCAGCAUCGACGAAGCGAAAGUGACGGUAGGUGCAGAAGAAGGACCGGCCAACUACGUGCCAGCCGCCGCCGUAACAC
rnacentral:rRNA from 1 species